rnacentral:lncRNA from 1 species
AUUGAUUGUUUAGUUAGAGAUUUUGCCAACUUCCUGAUGGUUCAGUUUUGUGAUUCUGCGAAAAGAACCGCAUUUCCUUUUUGACUUAAGAGGGAGAGAGAGGAGGGAGAGGAGCGGAGGCUGGGGGCUGGCGGACUCAUCGAGCUGCUGCAAAUAAACCCUCCACCUCCUAUCAGCAGCUAUCGACCCGGGCACGGACCACGCAUGGAAACCCUUUGUGCUGUGCUCUGUAUGUUCAGGUAUCAGAUGACCUGAUUCACAUCAAUCAGAAAGAAAAAAUAUAUAUAUGCUGAGCAGAAAAGAAUGAAGGAGAAAUAAGAUCUAUGAAAGCAAAAACCUGAGGACUGCAGUGUACUUGGAUGGAGAUUGUCACAGCAGGACAGAGGCAAAAGGUUCUGAAGAAGGCUCUGAGUACCUGGUGGAGCUCUUGCCGCUUCCCCCAUGCGUUCUCCUCGGGCUGCCCAGGCCGGGAACAUCACAACCACAGCUGCUGGUGUCUCCUAGGAUGGGGGUGCAGGACAUUGAUCUCCAGUGGCACAUCUGGUGUGGCAGCUGGAAAGUCCGCGACCACCAUGGGCAUGGGCCUCAGUGAAGACUUAAGCUGCAUGCACAACACUACAGCAACCUCAUCUCACAAAUGAAGCUCCAAAAGGCCUGGAAAACUACGCAGCUUUGUUGCCUAAAACUCCAUUGGCAUCCCUUCAGCUUGAAG